GUGCUUGCUUCGGCAGCACAUAUACUAAAAUCGGAACAAUACAGAGAAGAUUAGCAUGGCCCCUGUGCAAGGAUGACGUGCAAAUUCGUUUAGUGUUCCAUAUUAAA
rnacentral:snRNA from 1 species